AGGUCAGUCCCGAGACGGCUCGUGGCACUGUGCAACCAAAGCUGUUGAUGCUGUGACCAAACACUGCAGUUCUACACAGGAUGCCAUGUCACUUAAAAAUGGUAUGCAGGGUUAGGGUGCAGC
ensembl:snoRNA